rnacentral:rRNA from 1 species
GGAGCUAAUCCCUUAAAGCUACUCUCAGUUCGGAUUGUAGGCUGAAACUCGCCUACAUGAAGCUGGAGGUACUAGUAAUCGCAGAUCAGCAUGCUGCGGUGAAUGCGUUCCCGGGUCUUGUACACACCGCCCGUCACACCCCGGGAGUUGGAGGCGCCCGAAGCCGACUAUCUAACCUUUAGGAAGCAGUCGUCGACGGAGGAAUUAAGAACUGGGGUGAAGUCGUAACAAGGUAGCCGUAUCGGAAGGUGCGGCUGGAUCACCUCCU